rnacentral:rRNA from 1 species
AGGACGAACGCUUGCGACGUGCCUAAGAAAUGCAAGUCGAACGGAAUUACCUUCGGGUAGUUUAGUGGCGAACGGUCGCGUAACACGUGGGCAACCUGCCCUGAAGCGGGGGACAACAACUCGAAAGAGUUGCUAAUACCGCAUGUGUAUCGGAAUGGCAUCAUUCAGGAUACAAAGGACUUCGGUUCACUUCAGGAUGGGCCCGCGGCCUAUCAGCUAGUUGGUAAGGUAAUGGCUUACCAAGGCUUCGACGGGUAGCUGGUCUGAGAGGACGAUCAGCCGGAUUGGGACUGAGAUACGGCCCAGACUCCUACGGGGGCAGCAAUUAGGAAUCUUGCGCAAUGGGCGAAAGCCUGACGCAGCGACGUCGCGUGAAGGAUGAAAUCUUUCGGGAUGUAAACUUCUUUACCAGGGAAGAAACAAUGACGGUACCUGGUGAAUAAGCCCCGGCUAACUACGUGCCAGCAGCCGC